AAAUCUUUUUUUUAAAAAAAAAAAUUGGUAAUUCGCAAAUCAUCUACUUUUCUAUAUCAAUCUGUAGUUUCAUGGUGUUCACUCAUUAGGUUGUGCCACUUGUUCAUGUCCCCUUUUUCUAUACCAUGUUUCUCGCCUAUCACAGUUCUGACUCCUCGCUACCAAACUUCAUAUUCUCUUGACAACACUAUCCCUCUUUAGCACCAUCACAUAAAAAAAAGUUUGUUACUGUAUUCUCUUAACAGAUUAUAGUGCCGGACGGAAGCAUUGCAGCAAACCAUUUUCCUGAUA
rnacentral:misc_RNA from 1 species